rnacentral:tRNA from 1 species
AUAGGUAUGAUGAAAUUUGGUAAACAUGUUAGAUUUAGAAUCUAAUAACGUAAUUGUUUUGAGGGUUCGAGUCCCUCUACCUAUA